rnacentral:ncRNA from 2 species
UCGACACCACGCAACUGGCGUUCAAGGGCCUGCGCAAUGCAGGCCUGAGGUGGGCAACCACCAGGGAGCGUGGACCACAACGGCUGUCGAGCCUUGUCGGUUUUAGCCGUGCGCCUGGGCAGCCCCA